UUCGGUUGAUCCUGCCGAAGGCUACUGCUAUUGGAGUUCGAUUAAGCCAUGCGAGUCUAAGGGGUACUUGUACCCCUGGCAUAAUGCUCAGUAACACGUGGAUAAUCUACCCUUAGGUGGGGCAUAAACCCGGGAAACUGGGGCUAAUACCCCAUAGAUACAGAACGCUGGAAUGCCUCUGUAUUCAAAGCUCCGGCGCCUAAGGAUGAGUCUGCGGCCUAUCAGGUAGUAGUCAGGGUCACGACCUGACUAGCCAACGACGGGUACGGGGUGUGAGAGCACUUGCCCGGAGAUGGUUUCUGAGACACGAAACCAGGCCCUACGGGGCGCAGCAGGCGCGAAAACUUCGCAAUGCGGGAAACCGUGACGAGGGAACUCCAAGUGUCUAUGCAAUGCAUAGACUGUUUUUCAGCCUAAAUAGCUGUUAGAGUAAGGGGUGGGUAAGACCGGUGCCAGCCGCCGCGGUAACACCGGCACCCCGAGUGGUAGCCACUAUUAUUGGGCCUAAAGCGUUCGUAGCCGGUUUAGUAAAUUCUUGGGUAAAUCGUACAGCUUAACUGUGCGGAUUCCGGGGACACUACUAGACUUGAGACCGGGAGAGAUUAGAGGUACUUGCAGGGGAGCGGUGAAAUGUUGUAAUCCUGCAGGGACCACCAGUGGCGAAGGCGUCUAAUCAUAACGGCUCUGACGGUGAGGAACGAAACCCUGGGGCGCAAACGGGAUUAGAUACCCCGGUAGUCCAGGGCGUAAACGCUGCUGACUUGGUGUUGGAGAUCCUACGAGGGUGUCCAGUGCUGGCGCGAAGGUAUUAAGUCAGCCGCCUGGGGAGUACGGUCGCAAGACUGAAACUUAAAGGAAUUGGCGGGGGAGCACUGCAACGUGUGGAGCGUGCGGUUUAAUUGGAUUCAACGCCGGAAAACUCACCGGGGGCGACGGUUACAUGAAGGCCAAGCUGAUGACUUUGCCUGAUUUUCCGAGAGGUGGUGCAUGGCCGCCGUCAGUUCGUACCGUAAGGCGUUCUGUUAAGUCA
rnacentral:rRNA from 1 species